rnacentral:rRNA from 1 species
UACAGAGGUCUCAAGCGUUGUUCGGAUUCAUUGGGCGUAAAGGGUGCGUAGGCGGCGCGGUAAGUCGGGUGUGAAAUCUCGGGGCUUAACUCCGAAACUGCAUUCGAUACUGCCGUGCUUGAGGACUGGAGAGGAGACGUGGAAUUUACGGUGUAGCGGUGAAAUGCGUAGAUAUCGUAAGGAAGACCAGUGGCGAAGGCGGGUCUCGUGGA